rnacentral:rRNA from 1 species
GACGAACGCUGGCGGCGUGCUUAACACAUGCAAGUCGAGCGGAAAGGCCACUUCGGUGGUACUCGAGCGGCGAACGGGUGAGUAACACGUGAGUAAUCUGCCCCUCACUUUGGGAUAGCCCCGGGAAACUGGGAUUAAUACCGGAUAUGACUGCCGGCCGCAUGGUCUGGUGGUGGAAAGUUUUUCGGUGGGGGAUGUGCUCGCGGCCUAUCAGCUUGUUGGUGGGGUAAUGGCCUACCAAGGCUUCGACGGGUAGCCGGCCUGAGAGGGUGACCGGCCACACUGGGACUGAGACACGGCCCAGACUCCUACGGGAGGCAGCAGUGGGGAAUAUUGGACAAUGGGCGGAAGCCUGAUCCAGCAACGCCGCGUGAGGGAUGACGGCCUUCGGGUUGUAAACCUCUUUCAGCGGGGACGAAGCGCAAGUGACGGUACCCGCAGAAGAAGCACCGGCCAACUACGUGCCAGCCGCCGCAGUAACAC